rnacentral:lncRNA from 1 species
AGGAUAAGAUAACUUAAACGUUGUCCUUACAUUGGUUCUACCAAACGACCUACGUCUUGGGUCUUCGGUCUUGAACUUCUUUAGCUUGUUCAUGCAAUUACGUCAUCAGUAUGCUUAUCGUCAUUUGAUUAUACACUUGACUUCAUUGUUUGUCAUUCAUCAAAACCUAUACCUGAAAAUCAUGCUCAUACAACCAAAGCGCACAUAUCAAAGGUAUACAUGAUUUCCAACAA